rnacentral:rRNA from 1 species
UGGGGAAUAUUGCACAAUGGGGGAAACCCUGAUGCAGCAACGCCGCGUGAGUGAUGACGGUCUUCGGAUUGUAAAGCUCUGUCUUCAGGGACGAUAAUGACGGUACCUGAGGAGGAAGCCGCGGCUAACUACGUGCCAGCAGCCGCGGUAAUACGUAGGUGGCAAGCGUUGUCCGGAUUUACUGGGCGUAAAGGGAGCGUAGGUGGAUAUUUAAGUGGGAUGUGAAAUACUCGGGCUUAACCUGGGUGCUGCAUUCCAAACUGGAUAUCUAGAGUGCAGGAGAGGAAAGUAGAAUUCCUAGUGUAGCGGUGAAAUGCGUAGAGAUUAGGAAGAAUACCAGUGGCGAAGGCGACUUUCUGGACUGUAACUGACACUGAGGCUCGAAAGCGUGGGGAGCAAACA